UGUCAUUGUAGUCUGUUCCCACCCUUCCCAUGCACGCUCUGUGUAUUGAUGGGGAAUGUGGAGGGCAGGCUGGGAGGAGGAUAUCCCUGACUGUUGAGAAGUUUCCGGGGAGGAUGGAGUAGAGAGGAGCAUGGCCGGACCUCCCCAUAGCAGGUCGGCGGAGGGAAAGGGUGCAGCCCUCAGGGCAGCAGCUGAAUCAGUCCUAUGUCAUGUUCUUAAAGGACAGUACGAUUCCAUUUCUUUGAAAAGCCACAGUUUUUCUGGCCUGCCCUCGGUUGGUGGGCACCCAUUUAUUCCCCAUUGCCCCUCCCCAUCUCUGCCCUCCUUGACACCUGUGCCCAGACAUGGCAUCUGAGUCAGAGGCCACCGACCGUUGCAUCACCGGAUCCAGAUUGCUUCUAGAAUGGCGAGUGUGACCUCCCAGUGCCCAGUGAACAUCACCAUUCCAUAACACCGCGAGCAUCGGGGCCCUUUUCUGGGUGACCGCUUCCUCCUUUGCCACUGGGCACUUAGCUGCGUUCUCUGGGUCCUCACUGGAUCAGGAGUGAG